UACGUAGGGUGCAAGCGUUAUCCGGAUUUAUUGGGCGUAAAGGGCUCGUAGGCGGUUCGUCGCGUCCGGUGUGAAAGUCCAUCGCUUAACGGUGGAUCCGCGCCGGGUACGGGCGGGCUUGAGUGCGGUAGGGGAGACUGGAAUCCCCGGUGUAACGGUGGAAUGUGUAGAUAUCGGGAAGAACACCAAUGGCGAAGGCAGGUCUCUGGGCCGUUACUGACGCUGAGGAGCGAAAGCGUGGGGAGCGAACAGG
rnacentral:rRNA from 1 species